rnacentral:rRNA from 1 species
UACGUAGGGGGCGAGCGUUGUCCGGAGUUACUGGGCGUAAAGGGCCCGCAGGCGGUUCGGCCAGUUCAGACUGACAAUUCUGCCCUUAAUGCAGAGAGGCGUCUGAAAACUACCGAACUUGAGGCAAUGAGAGGGACAGGGAAUUCCGGGUGGAGUGGUGAAAUGCGUAGAUAUCCGGAGGAACACCAAAGGCGAAGGCACUGUCCUGGCAUUGUCCUGACGCUCAUGGGCGACAGCUAGGGGAGCGAACGGG